GUGGACGCCAGUCUGCAUGGAGCCGACCUUGAAAUACCACCCUUUAAUGUUUGAUGUUCUAACGUGGACCCGUAAUCCGGGUUGCGGACAGUGUCUGGUGGGUAGUUUGACUGGGGCGGUCUCCUCCUAAAGAGUAACGGAGGAGCACGAAGGUUGGCUAAUCCUGGUCGGACAUCAGGAGGUUAGUGCAAUGGCAUAAGCCAGCUUGACUGCGAGCGUGACGGCGCGAGCAGGUGCGAAAGCAGGUCAUAGUGAUCCGGUGGUUCUGAAUGGAAGGGCCAUCGCUCAACGGAUAAAAGGUACUCCGGGGAUAACAGGCUGAUACCGCCCAAGAGUUCAUAUCGACGGCGGUGUUUGGCACCUCGAUGUCGGCUCAUCACAUCCUGGGGCUGAAGUAGGUCCCAAGGGUAUGGCUGUUCGCCAUUUAAAGUGGUACGCGAGCUGGGUUUAGAACGUCGUGAGACAGUUCGGUCCCUAUCUGCCGUGGGCGCUGGAGAACUGAGGGGGGCUGCUCCUAGUACGAGAGGACCGGAGUGGACGCAUCACUGGUGUUCGGGUUGUCAUGCCAAUGGCACUGCCCGGUAGCUAAAUGCGGAAGAGAUAAGUGCUGAAAGCAUCUAAGCACGAAACUUGCCCCG
rnacentral:rRNA from 1 species